UAUGGCCAAACCACCCUGACUGUGCCUGAUCUCAUCUGAUCUCAGAAGCUAAGCAGGGUUGGGCCUGGAUACUACUUGGAUGGGAGACAAAAAGACAAAUACUGUAUGAUUCCACCU
rnacentral:rRNA from 1 species